UAUGAAACACCGAUUCCCGGACGAUCACCGAAGUUAAGUAGCGUCGAGUCUGGUCAGUAUUGAGACGGGUAACCGCUUGGGAAUACCAGGAGCUGUAAG